rnacentral:rRNA from 1 species
UACGAAGGGGGCUAGCGUUGCUCGGAAUCACUGGGCGUAAAGCGCACGUAGGCGGAUUGUUAAGUCAGGGGUGAAAUCCUGGAGCUCAACUCCAGAACUGCCUUUGAUACUGACGGUCUUGAGUUCGGGAGAGGUGAGUGGAACUGCGAGUGUAGAGGUGAAAUUCGUAGAUAUUCGCAAGAACACCAGUGGCGAAGGCGGCUCACUGGCCCGGAUAGACGCUGAGGUGCGAAAGCGUGGGGAGCAA